rnacentral:rRNA from 17 species
AGGUAAGCUACUAAGAGCGAAUGGUGGAUGCCUUGACUGGUAAAGGCGAUGAAGGACGUACUAGACUGCGAUAAGCUACGGGGAGCUGUCAAGAAGCUUUGAUCCGUAGAUUUCCGAAUGGGGCAACCCAAUGUAUAGAGAUAUACAUUACCUAUAUAGGAGCGAACGAGGGGAAUUGAAACAUCUUAGUACCCUCAGGAAAAGAAAUCAAUAGAGAUUGCGUCAGUAGCGGCGAGCGAAAGCGCAAGAGGGCAAACCCAGUGCUUGCACUGGGGGUUGUAGGACUGCAAUGUGCAAGAGGUAAGUUUAGCAGAACAUUCUGGAAAGUAUAACCAUAGAGGGUGAUAGUCCCGUAUGCGAAAAACAAACCUUAGCUAGCAGUAUCCUGAGUAGGGCGGGACACGAGGAAUCCUGUCUGAAUCCGGGUCGACCACGAUCCAACCCUAAAUACUAAUACCAGAUCGAUAGUGCACAAGUACCGUGAGGGAAAGGUGAAAAGAACUGAGGUGAUCAGAGUGAAAUAGAACCUGAAACCAUUUGCUUACAAUCAUUCAGAGCCCUAUGUAGCAAUACAGGGUGAUGGACUGCCUUUUGCAUAAUGAGCCUGCGAGUUGUGGUGUCUGGCAAGGUUAAGCAAACGCGAAGCCGUAGCGAAAGCGAGUCUGAAUAGGGCGCUUAGUCAGAUGCUGCAGACCCGAAACGAAGUGAUCUAUCCAUGAGCAAGUUGAAGCUAGUGUAAGAACUAGUGGAGGACUGAACCCAUAGGCGUUGAAAAGCCCCGGGAUGACUUGUGGAUAGGGGUGAAAGGCCAAUCAAACUUCGUGAUAGCUGGUUCUCUCCGAAAUAUAUUUAGGUAUAGCGUUGUGUCGUAAUAUAAGGGGGUAGAGCACUGAAUGGGCUAGGGCAUACACCAAUGUACCAAACCCUAUCAAACUCCGAAUACCUUAUAUGUAAUCACAGCAGUCAGGCGGCGAGUGAUAAAAUCCGUCGUCAAGAGGGAAACAACCCAGACUACCAGCUAAGGUCCCUAAAUCUUACUUAAGUGGAAAACGAUGUGAAGUUACUUAAACAACCAGGAGGUUGGCUUAGAAGCAGCCAUCCUUUAAAGAAAGCGUAAUAGCUCACUGGUCUAGUGAUUUUGCGCGGAAAAUAUAACGGGGCUAAAGUAAGUACCGAAGCUGUAGACUUAGUUUACUAAGUGGUAGGAGAGCGUUCUAUUUGCGUCGAAGGUAUACCGGUAAGGAGUGCUGGAGCGAAUAGAAGUGAGCAUGCAGGCAUGAGUAGCGAUAAUUAAUGUGAGAAUCAUUAACGCCGUAAACCCAAGGUUUCCUACGCGAUGCUCGUCAUCGUAGGGUUAGUCGGGUCCUAAGUCGAGUCCGAAAGGGGUAGACGAUGGCAAAUUGGUUAAUAUUCCAAUACCAACAUUAGUGUGCGAUGGAAGGACGCUUAGGGCUAAGGGGGCUAGCGGAUGGAAGUGCUAGUCUAAGGUCGUAGGAGGUUAUACAGGCAAAUCCGUAUAACAAUACUCCGAGAACUGAAAGGCUUUUUGAAGUCUUCGGAUGGAUAGAAGAACCCCUGAUGCCGUCGAGCCAAGAAAAGUUUCUAAGUUUAGCUAAUGUUGCCCGUACCGUAAACCGACACAGGUGGGUGGGAUGAGUAUUCUAAGGCGCGUGGAAGAACUCUCUUUAAGGAACUCUGCAAAAUAGCACCGUAUCUUCGGUAUAAGGUGUGGUUAGCUUUGUAUUAGGAUUUACUCCGAAAGCAAGGAAACUUACAACAAAGAGUCCCUCCCGACUGUUUACCAAAAACACAGCACUCUGCUAACUCGUAAGAGGAUGUAUAGGGUGUGACGCCUGCCCGGUGCUCGAAGGUUAAUUGAUGGGGUUAGCAUUAGCGAAGCUCUUGAUCGAAGCCCGAGUAAACGGCGGCCGUAACUAUAACGGUCCUAAGGUAGCGAAAUUCCUUGUCGGUUAAAUACCGACCUGCAUGAAUGGCGUAACGAGAUGGGAGCUGUCUCAAAGAGGGAUCCAGUGAAAUUGUAGUGGAGGUGAAAAUUCCUCCUACCCGCGGCAAGACGGAGAGACCCCGUGGACCUU